rnacentral:tRNA from 1 species
GCCGGGAUAGCUCAGUGG